AGUAACGAAUAUUCCGCAAUGCGCGAAAGCGUGACGGAGCAAUGCCGCGUGCAGGAUGAAGCCCCUCGGGGUGUAAACUGCUGUCAGGGGCUAGAAACACAAUGAUCAUCCCCAAAGGAAGAGCCGGCUAACUCUGUGCCAGCAGCCGCGGUAAUACAGAGGGCUCAAGCGUUAAUCAGAAUCACUGGGCUUAAAGGGUGCGUAGGCGGGCCUGUUAGUGUCUUGUGAAAUCCCACGGCUCAACCGUGGAACUGCUCGGCAUACUGCGGGCCUUGAGGUCGGUAGGGGCUGUCGGAACUCUAGGUGUAGCGGUGAAAUGCGUAGAUAUCUAGAGGAACGCCAAUAGUGAAGACAGGCGGCUGGACCGAUCCUGACGCUGAGGCACGAAAGCGUGGGUAGCGAACGGGAUUAGAUACCCCGGUAGUCCACGCCCUAAACGAUGUGUACUAGAUCAUGGAGGUUUUGACGCCAUCGUGGUCGAAGCAAAAGUAUUAAGUACACCGCCUGGGG
rnacentral:rRNA from 1 species